rnacentral:lncRNA from 1 species
AACUCAGAGAUUAAUUCGUAGAACUCCCAGCUAACAAAAGCUCUGCAUCUACUCUUUCCAAAUAGAUCAAACACAUCUCCUCAAUAUGCUUUCCCUGACGCAAGUACCUUCUUCUAUUUCUCAACUUCUCGAAUUUUUUGCUUGUGAACCUGUGAACCAGGGUGAGGCUAGCCAAGCCCCUGGUCCCCAAUUAGCUUAGGUUAAGGGUGUUUUCGUAAAUAAAAAAUUCUAGUUCUGUUUACAAUAGGACGAGGUUCAGUGUCUAAAUGAUAGUACGAUGAUAGCAAGGGAAGAGAGCUAUUACCAAUUUACCAUGCACAGCAGAGGAGAGCAUGGGUUGAUUCAGUCCGGUUUUUGGAUGAAGUUUUCGGUUUCGUUUCGGUUUUGUUCGGAUCGAUUUUUCCCGGUUCUGUUCGGUUUCAAUUUUAAUUCGGGUUUUUCUCAGCCCUAAUGCAUGAGAGAUUCCAAUAAUAUUAAUAUAUUUUAUUAUAUAUAUAUAUAUAUAUAUAUAUAUAUAUAUAUAUAUAUAUAUGUACAAAAUUUCAUAAUUUCGACUUUUAGCUCCUAAUCAUUAAAUUAUCAGGAUUUGGUUCAACUCUUUUAAUAUUAAUAUUGUAAUAGAUGAAUUUUGGGUUUUGGGAUUUAAAAAAUCAAUACUGUUUUAAUUUAUAUAUAAAUUAUUUUAUAUUUUUAUUUUUGUAUUAAAUAUAUUCUAAUAUUAUUUUCAGCUGGGCCUGCCAAUCGUCCCUCGGGCUGGACACUUGGCAAAAUAAAAAUAUAAAAGGGUAAUACUAGAACUAGAUGAUGAAGUCAGUUUGCAACGUUAUCACAUAGUCAUAGUUGUCAUCAUGUGUCUUCUGGAUAUAAUUACAUUAUUAUCAAUAUUACGAAGAAAAUCUAUUAAGCAUUUAAACCACAAUUGAUUUUAAUUUAUUUUUAGCCACCGCUUGUGACACCGGAAAAUUCCUUAUAUCGUUUCUGGCCAGCACUCUUAAUCGAAUGACUAGUUAAGGUGUAAACAUUUAUUCAACAGGCAUUCCCCGAAUUCAACACACUGGAAAUAGCUAGCAUCUGAUGUAUUAGUAUUACUUAGGUAUCAUAAAUAAGAGUUGUUUAGGUGUCUUGAAACUAAAAAACGAGUCUUAAACUGGACAUGCAAAAAUGACAAAAACAACUCGUAAACUAGACAGAGUAUGUGUUUUCUUAUUUUUCAAAAUUUUUAUGUGGUGGAUAUGUAACUUGAGUACUGUAUCAACUAGUUAUCAAGAGUUAAGAGCAACAUUUAUGUGUGUUAUAGUUUACGUUGUUUAACAAACUGUGUACAGAAAAUUUGUACAUAAUGACGUGGCAAGUGAUGUGGUGGAUUUUAAUUUGGGUGGUUGGUGUAAAUGCAGGGGGUCAUCCAAUUAAAAUCCGUCACAUAUCAUUAUGUACAUGUUUUUUACACAAUACCAAGCAUUUUCCUUUUAAUAUUAAUUCACACUUAAUAGCUUUUAUGAUUAUGUUGAUAUAAAAUUUAUCAACUCGAAUCACUGUAAUGUUUCUUAUAACAAGAGUUACAACUUACAACUGACAAAGGACUUGUGCUUAAUAAGGUUCUCGGUUUUAUCAUUUAAACAUUCUGCAGAUUGAUUAUAUAUAUAGACUGGCAUAGAUGUGCCUAUCUAUUGUGUUGUUAGUUUUGGUUAUGGACUAUGGUGGAGAAAAUUUGAUCAGAGUGGACCUGCACUCAUGCAGCAAACUGUACGAUGAGGCAGUAAGAAGUGUGUAUUUCCUGGGGGAAGACCCAAGUUGAUGCUAGAGAAGGUCGUUUUUAGUUGGAGGCUGGUUUUCUUGAACAAUCUGGUUUAUAAUAGUCUCAGGGAGGGUUGGAACUAGAUGGCAGAAGAAGCAAAAUGAAGAAAGCAGAGAAACUAAAAAGCAGUUUGAGCACGAUUGAUAGCCCGAGUGAUGGGUUUAUCGUCUGUUGUACCGGAACACCCGGGUUAUCAGAACAGAUAUUAUUUUGUAAGACAUAUAAGCCCAUUCAGAUGUUCAUCAUAUAUAUAUUUCAAUUCCCGACUAUUAGUUAUAAUCUGUUUAAAAA